rnacentral:misc_RNA from 1 species
GAGAGAGAGAGAGAGAGAUUAUAAUAAUGCUGAUACUAGAGUGUAGAUGGCAAAAAAUGCUCUCAGUGAACACCCUAGCAAUCACUCAAUUAACAUCUCAUUAUCCAUCAUUGGGCAGUGAGAGAAUAACUCUCAGGAUGCUAAUAUCCAAGUAUUGCACAACAAAGAAGAUGACAGAAGAUAUAACAAAGUUGAUAAACUCAAAUUGCAUAAUAUAAUAUUCUGGAGCAUUAUACAAAUUAUAAUAUUCUGCAUACCCAAAAAUAGGCAAAUUUAGAAUAACUGUAUAAAGUCCUCAGAUCAAACCGUUGUAAUUUCAGGCAGUGAAGCAUAUGAUUUUCAUUAAAAGUCAACCAAUAUCUUCAGUGAUAACAGAUCAAAUUAGAACAACAACAAAAACCACCAUCACCACCACCACCAGCAGCAGCCAGUACACCUGGAGACAGGAGUGCUGAAAGUGAAGAUGGAGGCAGAUAGUGAAAAUCAAAGCAACUGUCCCACUUAAUCAGAGGUCUUCAGUUCGGGCAAAGCAAAUGUUAAAGACAGAAGCUCUCAAAUAAUGCAAAAAGGAACCAGGAAUAACAGUCAGCUCUAAAUAAAAGAAGAACUGACGCCACAAGUAUUAAAACCAAAAAAAAUAAGAGUUAUAAAUAGUAAGGAUAAACACAGAGAAAGGAACAAACAUAGGUAAAGUUUGCGGCCAACUAUUCAAAUAGCUCAUCAUAUUUCCUAAAGCCAUCAAGACUGAAAAAAAUGAAGAGAAGGAAGUCAGACAAAGCUUUCUAGGCUUGCAUUUCCAUCAAUAAUUCAGAGCCCAGUGCAUGUAUCAUCAUCCACAAUCGUCCAACACAAAUACCAAACACCCACCAUUUAACUAGUGGGGAAAUUUACACAAAUCAAUAUAUUAAAUACAAAAAUGACCAAUUCAACGACUAAACAAACAUCCAAACUCGAGUCCAUCAGGCCCAGAGACCCAAUAAAGCAUACAUGCAAAGCCAAUACGAGCACCGUUAAGGAAAAAUGUAUAUAAGGUUUACAUCAGAGAGGAAAAAUUAGAUAAAAAAAAAAAAGCCCUCAGAUCUCAUAGCU